AGAUACCCGGGUAGUCCACGCCGUAAACGAUGUCUACUAGCUGUUGCCUUGCUAUUUUAUAGCAAGGUUGUGGCGUAGCUAACGCGAUGAGUAGACCGCCUGGGGAGUACGGCCGCAAGGUUAAAACUCAAAUGAAUUGACGGGGACCCGCACAAGCGGUGGAGCAUGUGGUUUAAUUCGAUGCAACGCGAAGAACCUUACCUACUCUUGACAUCUUCGGAAGAUCUUGUAAUGAGAUUGUGCCCUCGGGAACCGGAUGACAGGUGCUGCAUGGCCGCCGUCAG
rnacentral:rRNA from 1 species